rnacentral:tRNA from 1 species
AAGGUUAGCUCAGCUGGUUUAGAGCACCUGCCUUACAAGCAGGGGGUCACUGGUUCGAAUCCAGUACUUUCC